AUGAAUAAACUUGGUCAAGCUGUUGCUGGUCCUUCGGGACAUGUGCACGCUUGCCACCAAUUUUAACCACCUGUGCACCUUUUGUAGACUAGAAACGUUUCUCGAGGCAACUCGGAUUGAGAAUUGCUGUGCGCAAGCCGGCUGUUCUUGUGUUUCUUAGUCUAUGUUUCAUAUACUCCGAAUGUAUGUGUUAGAAUGUAUUGCUGGGCCUUAGUGCCUUUAAAUCAAAUA
rnacentral:misc_RNA from 1 species